GUUAGCACGAGCCGAAGGCGAGGACGUUUACGAGCCGCAGACGAGAACUACAAUCACACGAGGCCAAAACGCCCGCUUAGCCCUUGGUGCACACCAUAUUUGUAACGUAAGUUCCAGCAACUGACGCUUCAAUAUCUUCUCCCGUAUUCGAGUGCGACAUGGAAGUGUUGCUCUGGUCAGUAAACUUGAUGCACCUGCAGGGAGCGAUUCUCUAACAUCUCACUUCGUGACUACACGGUAUAUUGCAGAGAAUCUUGUCGUCGGAGACGUGACAAUGAAGCAAUUAGUGAUACUCAAGUUAAGGAGCGAGUUAUAAGAAUUAAUACAGAAUGCGAAAACUCGCGACGUCAAGUUAAAAAAAAGUAUAGCUUGAAAUAAGAAUUGUUAUUUAAUGCUAUCAUUUAUUUAUAUGUAUAGUCAAGCCUAAUAGCUAGUUUUGAAUAUCGUACAUAAUAAUCGUAGUAUCGUUCAUCAAAUUGUCAAAUCGCAAUAAAUUAUGCACUCAUAUGCUGAUAUAAUAAAUUAAAUGCUUAAGGAUUUUUUUGUAAAUCCUGGAACUUAAGUUUACAAAAUAAUGUUUUUCCUCUAUCGCUCUAUCAAAAUAAGUUUUCUCCAGAAUUCAUUUUCUCUGUUUUCAACCCGUAACUUAUAUAGAAAAAUCUUUUAUCAGAAAUAGUACAUAUAUUAAAUUAACUCAGAUUUAUCCUGCGAGUACAAACCAGAGAGGACUUUUCCCUUGCAGUAUUUUUAUCUUCAUCCUUCAAGAGUCGGUAAUAAAGGUUACUCCGUGAGCGUUACUGGAGAGCUUGAAUUCUGCACUGUCGAGACGGGAGCAUUUGGUAUCUGCCUGACCGACUGAUGAAGAGAUCCGCUGCUUUCACUCACAGGAAUUCAGCAAAUGCUUCAUAGAUGUUGGUUUAAUAAAGAAAAAGAUGUUAUUGAUAAAAUGUUUCAAUUACUUAAGUCAUAACUAAAUAGGCAUGAUGUGUUGAUACAGGAAUAUAAAAAUUAUUAUAAAAAUGAUUUCAAGUAUUGUUGGUACAUUAACUCUUAAACUAAAAUAAUGACAAAGUUUUAAAGCAUAUUAUUAUAAUUUUGUUUAACAGUAAAGGAUUGAAAACUCGAUUGAAAAUCAACUUUUAAUUGAAGAAACAUAUAUACAUGUAUAGAUAACAGACACUUACGGAAAAGCUUAAAGUACUAAUAAAUGGACUUUUAGUCGACUAUCCGGGUAUUUAUAAAACUUUAAUUGAGUCUUAUCUAGAGAGAAAGAUAUGUGUGAAAUGUUAUGAAAAUGUUGUUAAAUAUGUACUAUAAUAUAGAAACGAGAAAAAUGUUCCUGAA